CAUCCUUUCUUCGAGAGAGCUGUGAUCUCCUCCGGCGAACUUCCGGCAAACCUUGUAGUUGUAGUUGCAAGUUUUCUUCGCCUCAUCUUAUCACUCUUCCAAAGUAAUCAUCUAUGCCUUUGAUAACCAAGCCAUUUAACUUUAUUGUUUUCUUCUUCUCCAUUUACUUCUUCUUCUUUCUAUUAUUGGUGGUGGUGGUUGCUAGCUCUAGGAGGUUUUGGAGCUUGGAUUUCAGAUGGUUUCUCCUUUCACCUCUCUUCACUUCUCUCUUUUCCGACCAUCAAGAUUGUUUUAGGGAGUGGCAUUGGAUCUCAUUUUUGGACUUAAGCUAAUAUCAGAUCAAAAGUGAUAGAUCGGCGUGGAUCUUGAAAGACUGCCUGUAGAUGUUGCUUGUCUUGUUGUGAAAUUGUAGUUCUUGUCAUUGUCUAUCACUAUGUUCCUGUAUUUUAUAUUUCUGGACUUCUUGUAUCUUUGCAUUGUAUACACUGUAAAGUCUGUAAUCUUGUAACCCAGUUGGUUUGUUAUAGUUUUGUUUGUCCUAAACCAGGUCCUGAGGCCUUGCAGGUCUACUUGGUUCACGUCCUGUGGAUCUGCGGCCGUUUGUCUGC